AAACGAUGCCAACUGACGAUCCGUGGUGGUAGUAUUUUAACCAUCCCCACGGGCAGUCCCCGGGAAACCUUUAAGUCUUUGGGUUCCGGGGGAAGUAUGGUUGCAAAGCUGAAACUUAAAGGAAUUGACGGAAGGGCACCACCAGGAGUGGAGCCUGCGGCUUAAUUUGACUCAACACGGGAAAACUCACCCGGCCCGGACACUGUGAGGAUUGACAGAUUGAUAGCUCUUUCUUGAUUUGGUGGUUGGUGGUGCAUGGCCGUUCUUAGUUGGUGGAGCGAUUUGUCUGGUUAAUUCCGAUAACGAACGAGACUCUAGCCUGCUAAUUAGUACGCCUGUCCUCUGUUCCUGUGCUGGCGGUGCUUCGGCGAAACUGCAUGCGUAAGCCUACUGCCAUGGGACGCGUUUUCUGCGUGUGCUGCGAGCUCCUCGUGGGCGAGUGGUGUGCGUGGGGGGCGUGAACUGUGGUUGGAGGUGUGUGCGGUGGGUACAGCGCUUGCCGCCGGGUACGGCGCAGGUGUGUCUACUUCUUAGAGGGACAAGCAUUACGAAUGUGUACGAAAUUGAGCAAUAACAGGUCUGUGAUGCCCUUAGAUGUCCGGGGCCGCACGCGCGCUACAAUGACGGUGCCAACGAGUCUGACCUUCUGGCCCGAAAGGGUUGGGCAAACUGGUCAAUCACCGUCAUGACAGGGAUCGGGGCUUGGAAUUGUUCCCCGUGAACGAGGAAUUCCUAGUAAGUGCAAGUCAUAAGCUUGCGCUGAUUACGUCCCUGCCCUUUGUACACACCGCCCGUCGCUACUACCGAUUGAAUGUUUUAGUGAGGUCCUCGGAUUGGCGCCAUUGCAGUGUCAGCCGCAAGGUUGGUGCUCGACAGGUGCCGAGAAGACGACCAAACUUGGUCAUUUAGAGGAAGUAAAAGUCGUAACA
rnacentral:rRNA from 1 species